rnacentral:rRNA from 1 species
UACGGGGGGAGCAAGCGUUGUUCGGAUUUACUGGGCGUAAAGGGCGCGUAGGCGGUCAGCACAAGUCAAUUGUGAAAUCUCCGAGCUUAACUCGGAAAGGUCAACUGAAACUGUGCGACUAGAGUGCGGAAGGGGCAACUGGAAUUCUUGGUGUAGCGGUGAAAUGCGUAGAUAUCAAGAGGAACACCGGUGGCGAAGGCGGCUUUCUGGACAAAAACUGACGCUGAGGCGCGAAAGCUAGGGGAGCAAACAGG